GAUGAAGAACGCAGCGAAAUGCGAUACGUAAUGUGAAUUGCAGAAUUCAGUGAAUCAUCGAAUCUUUGAACGCACAUUGCACUCUCUGGUAUUCCGGAGAGUAUGCUUGUUUGAGUAUCAGUAAACACCUCAAAUCUCUUGUUUCUUGUGAAUAAGAGAAUUGGACUUGAGCAAUCCCAACUCUUGCAAAAGAGGCGGGUUGCUUGAAAUGCAGGUGCAGCUGGACAUUCUUCUGAGCUAAAAGCAUAUUUAUUUAGUCCCGUAAAACGGAUUAUUACUUUUGCUGCAGCUAACAUAAAGGUUGAAUGGCCAAUAUGGCUGACUGAUGCAGGAUUAACAGAGAAUUUAUUCUUUGUAAACUCGAUCUCAAAUCAAGUAAGACUACCCGCUGAACUUAAGCAUAUCAAUAGCGGAGGA
rnacentral:misc_RNA from 1 species